ensembl:lncRNA novel transcript
UCUGGGCUGGCUGUGGGAGGCUCCCGAGGUGGGGACCCGGCCGGGAUGGCUGCAGCGGCGGCCGGGGCUGGGAGCGGGCCCUCGGCGGCCCAGGAGAAGCAGUUCCUGCCGGCGCUGCUGAGUUUCUUCAUCUACAACCCGCGCUUCUGGCCGCGGGAAGGAGAGAAAUUUGUUUCAAUGAAGAAACUGUGGUAUACACACCCAAUGAAGUAUUAUUCAGCCUAAAAAGGAAGAAACUCCUCUCCGCUGCAGACAAAAUGGAUGAGAUUGCAGACCUCCCAGUGCCAAGUGUAUAAGCGUGUCCAGAAUUGGUGGGUCUCACUGACUUCAAGAAUGAAGCCGCGGACCCUCCUGGUGAGUGUUACACUUCUUAAAGUUGGCGUGUCUGGAGUUUUUUCCUUCUGAUGUUCGGAUGUGUUCGAAGCUUCUUCCUUCUGGUGGGGUUCGUGGUCUCGCUGGCUCAGGAGUGAAGCUGCAGACCUUCACGCCUCUGCCUCAGUCUCCUCUUCUGGAAAGUGGGAUUGGAAACCACAUCUGCUUCUCUCCCAGGACUGCUAGGCAGACAAGAUUAGAUGGCAGGAAGGAAAAUACAUGUACAGCCAACUUCCUUGAGGGUUCGUUCUUUUGCAUCAGGGUGUCUCAAACUGCUGCCCUUAAAACACCUGUAAGAGAAUCAUCCAGGCGGCUUGCUCACUCUGCAUGCAGGCCCUUUAGAAUGAGAGUCAGAAUCCCUGGGGCUGGAGCCACAAAAUGAAAUGACAUUUCAACGAGUUUGUCAUCAUGUGAGAGAGAAUAGGAGCCAGGUCGGUAUAAGCGCCAGCGGCCUCGCCGCCCGUCAAGCUGUCCACAUCCCUGGCCUCAGCCCGCCACAUCACCCUGACCUGCUUACGCCCAGAUUUUCUUCAAUCACAUCUGAAUAAAUCACUUGAAGAAAGCUUAUAGCUUCAUUGCACCAUGUGUGGCAUUUGGGCGCUGUUUGGCAGUGAUGAUUGCCUUUCUGUUCAGUGUCUGAGUGCUAUGAAGAUUGCACACAGAGGUCCAGAUGCAUUCCGUUUUGAGAAUGUCAAUGGAUACACCAACUGCUGCUUUGGAUUUCACCGGUUGGCGGUAGUUGACCCGCUGUUUGGAAUGCAGCCAAUUCGAGUGAAGAAAUAUCCGUAUUUGUGGCUCUGUUACAAUGGUGAAAUCUACAACCAUAAGAAGAUGCAACAGCAUUUUGAAUUUGAAUACCAGACCAAAGUGGAUGGUGAGAUAAUCCUUCAUCUUUAUGACAAAGGAGGAAUUGAGCAAACAAUUUGUAUGUUGGAUGGUGUGUUUGCAUUUGUUUUACUGGAUACUGCCAAUAAGAAAGUGUUCCUGGGUAGAGAUACAUAUGGAGUCAGACCUUUGUUUAAAGCAAUGACAGAAGAUGGAUUUUUGGCUGUAUGUUCAGAAGCUAAAGGUCUUGUUACAUUGAAGCACUCCGCGACUCCCUUUUUAAAAGUGGAGCCUUUUCUUCCUGGACACUAUGAAGUUUUGGAUUUAAAGCCAAAUGGCAAAGUUGCAUCCGUGGAAAUGGUUAAAUAUCAUCACUGUCGGGAUGUACCCCUGCACGCCCUCUAUGACAAUGUGGAGAAACUCUUUCCAGGUUUUGAGAUAGAAACUGUGAAGAACAACCUCAGGAUCCUUUUUAAUAAUGCUGUAAAGAAACGUUUGAUGACAGACAGAAGGAUUGGCUGCCUUUUAUCAGGGGGCUUGGACUCCAGCUUGGUUGCUGCCACUCUGUUGAAGCAGCUGAAAGAAGCCCAAGUACAGUAUCCUCUCCAGACAUUUGCAAUUGGCAUGGAAGACAGCCCCGAUUUACUGGCUGCUAGAAAGGUGGCAGAUCAUAUUGGAAGUGAACAUUAUGAAGUCCUUUUUAACUCUGAGGAAGGCAUUCAGGCUCUGGAUGAAGUCAUAUUUUCCUUGGAAACUUAUGACAUUACAACAGUUCGUGCUUCAGUAGGUAUGUAUUUAAUUUCCAAGUAUAUUCGGAAGAACACAGAUAGCGUGGUGAUCUUCUCUGGAGAAGGAUCAGAUGAACUUACGCAGGGUUACAUAUAUUUUCACAAGGCUCCUUCUCCUGAAAAAGCCGAGGAGGAGAGUGAGAGGCUUCUGAGGGAACUCUAUUUGUUUGAUGUUCUCCGCGCAGAUCGAACUACUGCUGCCCAUGGUCUUGAACUGAGAGUCCCAUUUCUAGAUCAUCGAUUUUCUUCCUAUUACUUGUCUCUGCCACCAGAAAUGAGAAUUCCAAAGAAUGGGAUAGAAAAACAUCUCCUGAGAGAGACGUUUGAGGAUUCCAAUCUGAUACCCAAAGAGAUUCUCUGGCGACCAAAAGAAGCCUUCAGUGAUGGAAUAACUUCAGUUAAGAAUUCCUGGUUUAAGAUUUUACAGGAAUACGUUGAACAUCAGGUUGAUGAUGCAAUGAUGGCAAAUGCAGCCCAGAAAUUUCCCUUCAAUACUCCUAAAACCAAAGAAGGAUAUUACUACCGUCAAGUCUUUGAACGCCAUUACCCAGGCCGGGCUGACUGGCUGAGCCAUUACUGGAUGCCCAAGUGGAUCAAUGCCACUGACCCUUCUGCCCGCACGCUGACCCACUACAAGUCAGCUGUCAAAGCUUAGGUGGUCUUUAUGCUGUAAUGUGAAAGCAAAUAUUUCUUCGUGUUGGAUGGGGACUGUGGGUAGAUAGGGGAACAAUGAGAGUCAACUCAGGCUAACUUGGGUGUGAAAAAAAUAAAAGUCCUAAAUCUAAACCAUUGCUGUAGUCAUUUAUGUUCAUGCAGUCUCUUCAUAAGAGGUAACUAGAACUGUUUUGCUGUAUCACAGUAAAGUGGAGGGUAAGCUAGGAAAAGGGAAAAUGAUCAGAUGUCUGCAAGAACUCACAGCCCUCUCCUGGCAGAGCUGCUUUAGAUGACAUUUGCAUCUUGUGCCCGUGUGGCUUCCUUCCAGUCCUUGCCUCAUCUUAGGGACGUCAUCAAAGGACUACACUAUUUUUGUUCUGCCUACAUUCCUAACAGCUGCCUAGGCAGACUCAGACUUGAAUCUUCUAUAGGAGUUCAUCACAGCUCUAUUUUGCAAGAUAGUAGUUCAUUUUUUUCUCUUUUAUGUUGAGCCAAAGCCACUUCUGGAGACUUGUCCUAGAGCAGGGGUCAGGCUUUUUUUGAAUUUUUAAUUUGUUUUUAAUAAAGAGCCA